GCGGAAGUGGCUCAGUGGUAGAGCAUCUCCUUGCCAAGGAGAAGGUCGUGGGUUCGAAUCCCAUCUUCCGCU
rnacentral:tRNA from 1 species